rnacentral:misc_RNA from 2 species
UGACCAAUCAAGCCUGGCUUGGUAUUAGGGCACGCGGUUCCGCGGCCCUUAAAAUCAGUGGCGGCGCCGGUGGGCUCUAAGCGUAGUAAUAUUUCUCGCUAUUGAGUCUCCUCUUGGUGGCUUGCCAAAACUCCCUAAUUUCUCAC